rnacentral:lncRNA from 1 species
AAUGCCACAGAGGGUCAGGAUUACAAUCUGCCUAUUCUGAUUCUUCUACUAUGGGAAAAAAUCUUUUUCAGAAUUGAUGUAAAGCCUCUGUUAAUACUUUUCCUGUUAACAACCUAACUAUUCAACUGCUGAAUAAAAACCAUUAGGACAACUAAAGAAACUGAGAGAUUUUGGCAAGAAAUAGUCAUUCCAAUAUCAAUGACUACGGAGGAAAUGCAAUUACUUUUCUUUGCUUAAGUUUUCCAGGUUUGUGUUCUUAAGUAUGAGCCACAGCAUUUAUAACAACCCCAGAAUGUACCAUUUUUAUACAAGAAUUAAAUAAUAGCCCAAAUUAAGUAUUUGGCUCUUAGGAAUUUGAGAACUUUUGCAAAAUGAUAUCUUUCAUAAAAAAUAAAUGUUGUAAAACUAUAUAUAUUUAAUAAACCCAUUGCAGUAACCAGCAAAAAUAAAUUUAGCUUUCUGAAA